AACGCUAGCUACAGGCUUAACACAUGCAAGUCGAGGGGCAGCAUUAGGUAGCAAUACUGAGAUGGCGACCGGCGCACGGGUGCGUAACGCGUAUCCAACUUUCCCGUUACUCUGGGAUAGCCUUCCGAAAGGGAGAUUAAUACCGGAUGGUGUUUGAAUUCCGCAUGUUAUUCAAACUAAAGAUUUAUCGGUAACGGAUAGGGAUGCGUGACAUUAGGUAGAUGGCGGGGUAACGGCCCACCAUGCCCACGAUGUCUAGGGGUUCUGAGAGGAAGGUCCCCCACACUGGAACUGAGACACGGUCCAGACUCCUACGGGAGGCAGCAGUGAGGAAUAUUGGUCAAUGGCCGGAAGGCUGAACCAGCCAAGUAGCGUGAAGGAUGAAGGUUCUAUGGAUUGUAAACUUCUUUUAUAUAGGAAUAAAACCUCCCACGUGUGGGAGCUUGUAUGUACUAUAUGAAUAAGCAUCGGCUAACUCCGUGCCAGCAGCCGCGGUAAUACGGAGGAUGCGAGCGUUAUCCGGAUUUAUUGGGUUUAAAGGGAGCGUAGACGGGAUGUUAAGUCAGUUGUGAAAGGCUGCGGCUCAACCGCAGCACUGCAGUUGAUACUGGCGUCCUUGAGUGCGGUUGAGGUGUGUGGAAUUCGUGGUGUAGCGGUGAAAUGCUUAGAUAUCACGAAGAACUCCGAUUG
rnacentral:rRNA from 1 species